UACGAAGGGGGCUAGCGUUGCUCGGAAUCACUGGGCGUAAAGCGCAUGUAGGCGGUUGGAUAAGUCCGUUGUUAAAGCCCCUGGCUCAACUGGGAGAGGUCAAUGGAGACUAUUCGACUUGAGGGCAACAGAGGCACAUGGAACUCCCGGUGUAGCGGUGGAAUGCGUAGAGAUCGGGAAGAACACCCGUGGCGAAGGCGGUGUGCUGGGUUGCAACGU
rnacentral:rRNA from 1 species